rnacentral:tRNA from 1 species
AAGUUUAGGUUAAUUUUAAACCAAAGGCCUUCAAAGCCUAAAAUAGAGCCCCCCCCGUCUCU